AUAUUCAGAGAUUUUAUGACGGUAAAACAGCCGCAAUCCAGUAGGAAACAUUGCUGGAGGAAGAGUAUUUUUCAGAACGAGGACAUUUUUUGCGACGUAAAGGAGGAGUGGGGCGCCAUUGAAGGAUUGGAGCAGCACAGAACACAUUUCACACUUAAGAAGACCCAGCCAGCCACUUGUUCACCUGAGGGAGAAAGACCUGUCUUCAGCCUGUCUUCCACCUGUCUUCAGCCCUGUCAAAUAACCAUUCCAUGUGGCAGCAGCAUGUUGGUGGACAAGUUCCAGGCGCCAUGG